rnacentral:rRNA from 1 species
AAUCCAUAGGUUAAUGAGGCGAACCGGGGGAACUGAAACAUCUAAGUACCCCGAGGAAAAGAAAUCAACCGAGAUUCCCCCAGUAGCGGCGAGCGAACGGGGAGGAGCCCAGAGCCUGAAUCAGCAUGUGUGUUAGUGGAAGCGUCUGGAAAGGCGCGCGAUACAGGGUGACAGCCCCGUACACAAAAGCGCAUGUGCUGUGAGCUCGAUGAGUAGGGCGGGACACGUGGUAUCCUGUCUGAAUAUGGGGGGACCAUCCUCCAAGGCUAAAUACUCCUGACUGACCGAUAGUGAACCAGUACCGUGAGGGAAAGGCGAAAAGAACCCCGGCGAGGGGAGUGAAAAAGAACCUGAAACCGUGUACGUACAAGCAGUGGGAGCACCCUUUGGGGUGUGACUGCGUACCUUUUGUAUAAUGGGUCAGCGACUUAUAUUCUGUAGCAAGGUUAACCGUAUAGGGGAGCCGGAGGGAAACCGAGUCUUAACCGGGCGUUAAGUUGCAGGGUAUAGA